UGGGGAAUAUUGGACAAUGGGCGAAAGCCUGAUCCAGCCAUGCCGCAUGAGUGAAGAAGGCCUUUGGGUUGUAAAGCUCUUUUAGUGAGGAAGAUAAUGACGGUACUCACAGAAGAAGUCCUGGCUAACUCCGUGCCAGCAGCCGCGGUAAUACGGAGAGGGCUAGCGUUAUUCGGAAUUAUUGGGCGUAAAGGGCGCGUAGGCUGGUUAAUAAGUUAAAAGUGAAAUCCCGAGGCUUAACCUUGGAAUUGCGUUUAAAACUAUGAAUCUAGAGAUUGAAAGAGGAUAGAGGAAUUCCUGAUGUAGAGGUAAAAUUCGUAAAUAUUAGGAGGAACACCGGUGGCGAAGGCGUCUAUCUGGUUCAAAUCUGACGCUGAAGCGCGAAGGCGUGGGGAGCAAACA
rnacentral:rRNA from 1 species